GUAAAGAUCUCCAGGUUGACCAUUAAUGGUAUAUGCAUCAGACACAUUCGGAGCUAUUCCGGUAUUAAGAGCCUGUUGAAGGAUGUUCAUCGAGUCUCUAUUCCACCAUUCCCCUGUCAAGCACAACAGUUUUCGCGAAUAGGAAAUUCUCUAGCAGGAUGUGAGAAGGGAUAUGAAGAUUCGAGCUUCGGAUAUAUAACUAUAGCUCCAUAUACUGUGGCUCUUAACCAAUAAAUGUCCAUCUGCCCAUGGUGUUCUCAUUUGCCGGAUUCCAUGCCUAUUCGAUAGAAUUCAGACUUCGAAUUCGUGUUAGAUUAUCAACAAUAAUUCAGGAUAUCAGCUAGUCUACUAUGUUCUCAUCAAAACGGUGUUCCUUUUCUCAUCAAAAACUGAACUUCUAUUCAUCGCUCUGAAAGUACU